rnacentral:misc_RNA from 1 species
GAAGAGCCUAAACCCCAGUAUGGAUCUGGGUAUGGAAGGAAGAGUGAGUAUGAAGAGCCUAGUUCUGAGUAUGGAUCUGGGUAUGGGAGGAAGAGUGAGUAUCAAGAGCCAAGUUCUGAAUACGGAUCUGGGUAUGGGAGAAAGAGUGAAUAUGAAGAACCCACUCCCCAGUAUGGAAGGAGAAGCGAGUAUGAAGAACCCGCUUCCGAAUACGGAUCAGGGUAUCGGAAGAAGAGUGAAUACGAGGAGCCAAGCUCUGAAUACGGGUCGGGUUAUGGGCGUAGGAACGAAUCCGAAGAAUACGGAUCUGGUGGCUAUGGCAGGAAGCCUAGCUAUGGACAAGAGGAAGGUGAGAGGCCGAGUUAUGGGCGUCCAAGCUACCAGGCUGAGGAAGGCGAAGGGUACGAGAGGCCUCACUAUGGAAGAUCCGAGGAGGAGGACUACAGGAAACCCAGCUACGAGAGGCGUGGUGAUGAUGAUGAAGGCUAUGGUCGCAAGAAAUAUGGUGAGGACAACUCCGACGACGAUGACGAGGAGAAGAAACAUCGCUACCACCACCACCGCAAACACUACGAUGAUUGAGCAGAGAGAGUGAGUGCUUUAUGAUCCAUGUCAUACUAUCAAUACUAAAUAAAAGUUGGCAUGUUUCUGCAAAUGUUGUUCUUUGCGUGUUUGCUAUGGAUGUGUUGCUUAUUUUGUUAUUUGUGUGAGGUAUAUUUUGCCUCCUCUAUACUGGAAAACAAUAUCCCAGACAUUUUUCAGGGUAAAUAUGUCAUGAAUAAAUGAACUCUGUGAUUGGUCG